UUUUUCUCGUUCACAGAUCUCACAGACUCUGACCCUUCUGUCUACCAACUGAAGUCCCAAGAUGGAAAAUUUUCAGCUUGCCUUUUCACAGACUUCGCCCCUGAGAACAUCUCAGUUGGGAGUUCACACAAUGUUCUGACACAAGUCAGUGGCUCCAUUGUGCAGGUGAAAAACCCAGACAGCGGAAAAAAGGAAGCGAGCUAUGGGACAGUGCUUUGGAGAAAAGAGCAGUCACUUCACUGCUUCGCUGAACAUAAAACAAAACCAUUCUAUAUGGACAACAGUGACGAGGAAGGUGACACCUGUGGGAUGAUAGAGAUGGAUGACAAUUUUGAGACAGACGAGAAGCUGAACCUCCUGUCAUUCACGCUGCUGGGCCUGAGAAUCGUUUUUGUGAAAGGAGUGGCGGUUAACCUGCUACUGACCAUCUGGCUGUGGAAAAGCUAA